AGAGUUUGAUCAUGGCUCAGAACGAACGCUGGCGGCAGGCCUAACACAUGCAAGUCGAGCGCAGUCAUUACCUUCGGGUGGUGACCGAGCGGCGGACGGGUUAGUAACGCGUGGGAAUGUACCCUUCUCUACGGAAUAGCCUCGGGAAACUGAGAGUAAUACCGUAUACGCCCUUUUGGGGAAAGAUUUAUCGGAGAAGGAUCAGCCCGCGUAAGAUUAGAUAGUUGGUGGGGUAAUGGCCUACCAAGUCUACGAUCUUUAGCUGGUUUUAGAGGAUGAUCAGCAACACUGGGACUGAGACACGGCCCAGACUCCUACGGGAGGCAGCAGUGGGGAAUCUUGGACAAUGGGCGCAAGCCUGAUCCAGCCAUGCCGCGUGUGUGAUGAAGGCCUUAGGGUCGUAAAGCACUUUCGCUAGAGAUGAUAAUGACAGUAUCUAGUAAAGAAGUCCCGGCUAACUCCGUGCCAGCAGCCGCGGUAAUACGGAGGGGACUAGCGUUGUUCGGAAUUACUGGGCGUAAAGCGUACGUAGGCGGAUCAGAAAGUAUGGGGUGAAAUCCCAGGGCUCAACCCUGGAACUGCCUCAUAAACUCCUGGUCUAGAGUUCGAGAGAGGUGAGUGGAAUUCCGAGUGUAGAGGUGAAAUUCGUAGAUAUUCGGAGGAACACCAGUGGCGAAGGCGGCUCACUGGCUCGAUACUGACGCUGAGGUACGAAAGUGUGGGGAGCAAACAGGAUUAGAUACCCUGGUAGUCCACACCGUAAACGAUGAAUGCCAGUCGUCGGGUAGCAUGCUAUUCGGUGACACACCUAACGGAUUAAGCAUUCCGCCUGGGGAGUACGGUC
rnacentral:rRNA from 1 species